rnacentral:lncRNA from 1 species
CGCUAACCCAGCGGGUACGCGCUGCCGGCAGGGCUUCGGAGACGGGCAGCCGAGCCCAGCCGCCCCCACGUCCCUCCGUAGCGACGGGGCCGGGCCGCUCCUGUCCCUCUCCGCUCUCCCCCCACCUACGGUACCUCUCCCUCUUUGGGCCCCAGCUUGGGGUUGUAGAUGAAGAAACUGAGCAGGGUCGGAGCGAGCUGCUUCUCCUGGCCGGCUCCCGCCGCCGCCGUCGCCAUACUGAGCCGGAAGCGAGCGCGCCUGGGGCCGGCCGCCGCCACACACCAUCGGGGAGCAGCCCGGGGCCCUCCGCCGGCACCGGCCAGGAGCACUUCCGCCUUCCUCCCUCCACCCCGGAAGCCACGGCGCCAUCCCGGAAGUGCUCCCGGGCCCCGCGCGGGCCGCGCUCCACAGCGCCCCCAGCGGUGGGGCGGGCAGCGGGGCGGGGCUGCCUCGUGCUUUUCUGUGAACUUCCAAUUGAAGCAAAUUUCGGUGUGAGUUUUGAAGUAGAAACGGCUACGUAAGACGUGUGGCACUGCUCCGUGCAGUCCAAACACAGACAUUUCAACAUGAGGCCGAAGAAAGAUGAUCAUUUUCAGUGUAAGGAGGAAGCAGACACCCAGCAUCAGUUGCGGGAUCCCCAGCAAUGGCAGCAGAAUCAGCAUUGUCUGGGAGGUAACCAUUGCACAGGGAUUUGGAGCACAUCAGGAACAAACGUAAACACAUGAGAUCUGCUUCAGGACUGGGGCAUUUCCAGGGAAAUGAUUUGAGCCGCACCACGAAGGCGUUUGCUGCGGUGAAGGGAGACGUGUGCUCCCACGGACCCGACUGCCAGCCCACCUGGGGCUGCCCCGUGGCGGUGAGCGGCGCUGAGCAGAGCGCGGAGGGGUGCUGGGAAAUGGCGAGUUGUGCUUCUCAGCGCAGCCCCGGCUGCUGCUCCCGGGAGCGGCUGCAGGCGGAGCUGAGUGAUGCAAAGCAUUUUUCACAUGUUUACUCCGUGAAGAAUUGCCGUGGUGGAGCCAAGAGCAACUGAUUUCACCGAGUAAAUAUCUGGGAGUUGGGCAAUAGCUGAGGGCAGUAGCUGCGGCCUGAGGGGGAGCUGUGGCAGCGAGUGGAAGGAGAUCAUCUCUCCGGAGUUAGGAUGAGGCUGCUGUGCAGUUCAAGUAAUGCUCCCCCUUUCAACCUUUCUGCAGUGCUUAAUUUUUCAGAGAUGUGAAAUUAAAUUAGAAAGGCAGCAAAAAAAUCCGUGAAUUGGAGAAAGAGUAAUAAUUUGGAUGUGACUCAUCUUCAGCUAUUCCAUCAGAUCAGAAAUAGCUCAGCUCCUCUCCUAAGCUAAGUGCCAGCAACAGCAGCCCAGCAGUUUCAGUCUUACAGUUUAGCUGCUCUGCUCAGGAGCUCUGCACUGCUCGUGUAGCAAGAACAGCCUUCGUUAGCUGCAGUGUUAUUGACUCGGAUACCACGGCUCUCCUUCCUGUGAGCUGACACUGAUCUCUGCCUGUUUCACUACUGCAAUUCUCGCUCCUUCCUUUGAAGUAUGUUACAGAGACCAUUGGCACUUGCCUAGCACGGUGUAUCUGCAGAAGAUAUUCACAGGUUACAGAUAUUCUUGGUUACAGAACCAAAGCUGCACGAUCUAGAUCUUAAUUUCCCCAACGUCUGUGAUAUUUAUUUAAAGCAUUAGUUUUGACCUAGAUCCAGC